rnacentral:rRNA from 1 species
GAGUUUGAUCCUGGCUCAGAUUGAACGCUGGCGGCAUGCCUUACACAUGCAAGUCGAACGGCAGCAUGAUCUAGCUUGCUAGAUUGAUGGCGAGUGGCGAACGGGUGAGUAAUACAUCGGAACGUGCCCUGUAGUGGGGGAUAACUAGUCGAAAGAUUAGCUAAUACCGCAUACGACCUGAGGGUGAAAGUGGGGGACCGCAAGGCCUCAUGCUAUAGGGGCGGCCGAUGUCUGAUUAGCUAGUUGGUGGGGUAAAGGCCCACCAAGGCGACGAUCAGUAGCUGGUCUGAGAGGACGAUCAGCCACACUGGGACUGAGACACGGCCCAGACUCCUGCGGGAGGCAGCAGUGGGGAAUUUUGGACAAUGGGGGCAACCCUGAUCCAGCAAUGCCGCGUGUGUGAAGAAGGCCUCGGUGU